UGCCCUGUGACCGAGUGGUUUAGGUGUCCGCCUUCUAAGCUGAUUUACGCGUGUUCGAGUCACGCCAGGGUCG